CAACCCUCAGGGGCGCCCUUCCGGGGGUGCGCACUGGUGUUGGGGACCGGCGAGGCGGCGUCCUUCCAAAGGGCUCCCGCCGCCGCCGCCCCCGAAAUGAAUUGGCGGCCUCGUCGCGGCCUCCUCUGCGUAGUAGCACAACCUCGCAACGGGAGCGCGGCGCGGCCACAGCCGUAAAACGCACAACUUCUCAAG
rnacentral:misc_RNA from 1 species